AAUCAGUUUUCAAUAAAUAUAGACAAAUUCCAUUGCCUGUUUAAAUUCUUCAUACUUUUUCGUUUUUCUAAAAACACAUGCUCACAAUUAAACUUAUGUUCUGCUUAAUAAGCCUGAACAUCUGAUUUUCCUAGUGAAGCCAUUUCCAAUUCGCUUAUGGUUUGUUAUAAAAGGUGCAUUUUUGUUAGCAGAAAUGUGGUUAUACUAAUUGUUUUGUGCGUGGCUUCACAUGCUGAUGACGUAUGUGAUAGGUGGUUGAGAAAAUGGUGCUGUGUUUUCCCUCAACACCCAAGAAACUUGCCAUGACCAUAACUUGCUUCCUCUCUGGUGCUGCAUUUUUUGCUGCUGCGGGGCACCUUUCUUAUGUCAAUGUUGCACCCCAACAAGC